UCGUAACAAGGUUUCCGU
rnacentral:rRNA from 1 species